UGUUCCUCCUCCUUCUCCAGGCCUUUGAUCUCCAUAUGUUUUGACAUCAAACACGUGCCAGGUUUCUAGGACAGCGUGAGAGCCUCCGUUGUUUGCAGAUAAAACUUCACCAGAGGCAAACGGGAGAGUGCCAGCAACUCCCUGAGGAGGAAGAGUGGGGCGGAGAUCAGAAAUCUCAGCAAGGGGAUGGGAUAUUCCACUUGUGGAGAAUUGACAAGGGCUGCUACACACAAUUGCCUCCACACGUUGCAUGAAGGAAUGAACCGAUGAAUGGCGGCUUGCAGGUCCUUGAAGCCUAGUCCUGUAUGUUGCCACCACAUCCCUGGGAUUAAUGCACAUGGGAGCCCUCCACACAUGCAUCUGUGCAUGCAGAGACCUCUUGCCAAUGAAUGUUGAAACAGAUGUCUGUCGGGGAGGGUGGUGUUGGUGUGUGGGGAUGGUGGUAGGUGGGGAGACCUCACGUGGCCCCAUAGCCUCCUCCAUGUAUUCAUUCAAUUGGUGAAGGGGGUUAAGUAGGACCCACCCUCCGUGUCAGAGUUUAAUUCCUAUGACAGAAAGAGAAAUAGGCCCCUUCUACACUGUACAUUUAAAGCAGUGUCAUGCCAGUCAUGACUUCUCCCAAAGAAUCCUGGGAACUGUAGUUUGUUAAGGGUACUGAGAGUUGCUAGGAGACCCCUAUUCCCCUCACGGAGAAACCGUUCUCAGAGUGCUUUGACUAUCAGUCCUCCUUCUUGGGGAACUCUGGGAAUUUUAGAAUAUUAUUUUGGAAUAUUAUUGUUUGGUUUAAGAAACCAUUGAUAACUUCCCAAGGAACCCCAUUACUUCCCCUUUUAGACCAGAAACAGGACCCUCUAAUUCUUCUCGGCCAUCCCCUAGCCCUCCUGCCAGAUUCCACUUUUGGGUCCGGAGCGCCUGGUCUUCUCUCUCAUCCCCUAGCCACACAGCCCUUAAACUCAGGGAAUGUACAGCACCUCAGCCUUAGAGUUGCCAAUUGACCAGAAAAAGACAAAAUGGCGGAUGCUGUUCCAUUGCCAGGUUUAAAGUAACAUUCAACUGCUGUCCUUCACCUCAGGCGGCAAAGUGUCUUGGACCAGCUCCAGCCAAAGGCUGCAUGGCUUUUGUCUCUCGGUUUCCAACAAAACCGCUGGGACCCCACCUCUUGGCUCUACAAUUUGACUUGCUUGGUUUCCCUGUAGGAAGCAACAUGUCACACCCCCCCAAUAAUAAUAAUAAUAAUAAUAAUUCAAGAGUUUAAUAAUUCAAGCUGAAAUGCUUAGGGGUUAAGCAAUGCCCUUUUUCCUCAAGGCACACCAGAGGCUGGGCAGCAUAUACAGAGAAUGAAAAUUAACCCAGUUGUAUAUACUGAAUUCAGGGCCUUCUCCAUAUUUUGUCUUUUGCUGAGUCCGUCUUUACAGGCUGAAAGCUGACAUUUCGACCACACACAUCAUUAAUGCCUGGAACUAGCACUAGGCUGGAUGAGGGCCAACAAACUAAGGCUCAACUCAGAUAAGAUGUAGAGACUGUUGGCUGAGUAGGUUGUCUGUCUUGGGAAGUGAUGUUCAUUUUGCAUUUUCUUAGAUCAGGGGUAGGGAAGUUACCCUUCAGCUGGUGUUGGUCUCUCAGCUCCCAUCAUCACUUACCACUGGCCAUGCUGGCUGGUGCUGAUGGGAGUUGGUGGGCCAUACCUUCCCCCUGCAACAGGAGCAGGGAGACCCAGGUUCAAAUCCUGUUUCAUCCAUGAAGCUCAUUGAGUGACACUGGGCCAGUCAGUAUCUUUGAGCCUACCUUCAAGGGUUGUUGUGAGGAUUAAAGUAUGUAGGCUUAUCUUGUG